CAGUCGCCGCGGGAAUGCGGAGGGUGCAAGCGUUAAUCGGAAUUACUGGGCGUAAAGCGCACGCAGGCGGUUUGUUAAGUCAGAUGUGAAAUCCCCGAGCUUAACUUGGGAACUGCAUUUGAAACUGGCAAGCUAGAGUCUUGUAGAGGGGGGUAGAAUUCCAGGUGUAGCGGUGAAAUGCGUAGAGAUCUGGAGGAAUACCGGUGGCGGAGGCGGCCCCCUGGACAAAGGCUGACGCUCAGGUGCGAAAGCGUGGGGAGCAAACAGGAUUAGAUACCCCUGUAGUCCCUGUCUCUUAUAC
rnacentral:rRNA from 1 species